rnacentral:rRNA from 1 species
GACGAACGCUGGCGGCGUGCCUAAUACAUGCAAGUAGAACGCUGAAGGAGGAGCUUGCUUCUCUGGAUGAGUUGCGAACGGGUGAGUAACGCGUAGGUAACCUGCCUGGUAGCGGGGGAUAACUAUUGGAAACGAUAGCUAAUACCGCAUAAGAGUAGAUGUUGCAUGACAUUUGCUUAAAAGGUGCAAUUGCAUCACUACCAGAUGGACCUGCGUUGUAUUAGCUAGUUGGUGAGGUAACGGCUCACCAAGGCGACGAUACAUAGCCGACCUGAGAGGGUGAUCGGCCACACUGGGACUGGGACACGGCCCAGACUCCUACGGGAGGCAGCAGUAGGGAAUCUUCGGCAAUGGACGGAAGGCUGACCGAGCAACGCCGCGUGAGGGAAGAAGGUUUUCGGAUCGGAAAGCUCUGUUGUAAGAGAAGAACGAGUGUGAGAGUGGAAAGUUCACACUGUGACGGUAUCUUACCAGAAAGGGACGGCUAACUACGUG